rnacentral:rRNA from 1 species
GAUUAACGCUGGCGGCGUGCCUAACACAUGCAAGUCGAGCGGCAGCGAGUUUUACACUGACUUCUGGAAGCUUCUAGUUGAAAGAGAAGAUUUAUUCAAGAAUUUUGUGUAAAAUGUCGGCGAGCGGCGGACGGCUGAGUAACGCGUGGGAACGUACCCCAAAGUGGGGGAUAACGCAUCGAAAGGUGUGCUAAUACCGCAUAUGGUCUUCGGAUUAAAGCCUUCGGGCGCUUUGGGAACGGCCUGCGUAAGAUUAGAUAGUUGGUGGGGUAAUGGCCUACCAAGUCGACGAUCUUUAACUGGUUUGAGAGGAUGAUCAGUCAGACUGGAACUGAGACACGGUCCAGACUCCUACGGGAGGCAGCAGUGAGGAAUCUUCCACAAUGGGCGAAAGCCUGAUGGAGCAACGCCGCGUGCAGGAUGAAGGCCUUCGGGUUGUAAACUGCUUUUAUAAGUGAGGAUUAUGACAGUAACUUAUGAAUAAGGAUCGGCUAACUACGUG